AGCUGUAUCUCAGUGGUAGAAGGCCUACCCAGCAUGUGUGAGGCCCUGGGUUCAAUCCCCAGCAGUGCUA
rnacentral:tRNA from 1 species